GAUGAAGAACGUAGCGAAAUGCGAUACGUAAUGUGAAUUGCAGAAUUCAGUGAAUCAUCGAAUCUUUGAACGCAUAUUGCGCUCUCUGGUAUUCCGGAGAGCAUGCUUGUUUGAGUAUCAGUAAACACCUCAACUUCCAUAUCUUUUUUUGAAAUGGGAGUUGGACUUGAGUGAUCCCAACGCUUUUCCUCACCGAAAAGUGGCGGGUUACUUGAAAUGCAGGUGCAUCUGGACUUUUCUCUGAGCUAUAAGCAUAUCUAUUUAGUCUGCCUAAAAAACAGAUUAUUACCUUUGCUGCAGCUAACAUAAAGGAGAUUAGUUCUUGUGCUGACUGAUGCAGGAUUCACAAAGACAGCUUCGGCCGACUUUGUAAACUCGAUCUCAAAUCAAGUAAGACUACCCGCUGAACUUAAGCAUAUCAAUAAGCGGAGGA
rnacentral:misc_RNA from 1 species